rnacentral:piRNA from 1 species
UGGUGCUGUCCUUCAAGGAUUCUGCAGGGCA